rnacentral:rRNA from 1 species
GCUUAACGCGAAGAACCUUACCUACCUUUGAAUCCACGGAACCUAGCAGAGAUGUUGGGGUGCCUUCGGGAACCGUGAGACAGGUGCUGCAUGGCUGUCGUCAGCUCGUGUCGUGAGAUGUUGGGUUAAGUCCCGUAACGAGCGCAACCCUUGUCCUUAGUUGCCAUCAGGUUAUGCUGGGCACUUUAAGGAGACUGCCGGUGAUAAACCGGAGGAAGGUGGGGAUGACGUCAAGUCCUCAUGGCCCUUACAGGUAGGGCUACACACGCGCUACAAUGGGCAGUACAGAGGGAAGCCAACCCGCGAGGGGGAGCGAAUCUCAUAAAGCUGUUCGUAGUCCGGAUUGGAGUCUGCAACUCGACUCCAUGAAGUUGGAAUCGCUAGUAAUCGCGGAUCAGAAUGCCGCGGUGAAUACGUUCCCGGGUCUUGUACACACCG